AUUGAACGCUGGCGGCAGGCCUAACACAUGCAAGUCGAGCGGAGCGGCGGACGGGUGCGUACUGCCUGGGAAUCUGCCUGGUGGUGGGCGAUCCCGUCCGGAAACGGUCGCUACUACAGCAUACUAUCAGAUGAGCCUCGGUGGGAUUAGCUAGUUGGUGGUGUAAAGGCUUACCAAGGCGACGAUCCGUCACUGGUCUGAGAGGAUGAUCAGUCACACUGGAACUGAGACACGGUCCAGACUCCUACGGGAGGCAGCAGUGGUGAAGAUUGGACAAUGGGCGAAAGCCUGACCCAGCAAUGCCGCGUGUGUGAAGAAGGUCUUCGGAUUGUAAAGCACUGUAAGUAGGGAGGCGUUACCAACAGAAGAAGCACCGGCUAACUACGUGCCAGCAGCCGCGGUAAUAC
rnacentral:rRNA from 1 species